rnacentral:rRNA from 1 species
AAACGCUUGAAGUCAGUCACGCCCUUCUGGAUUCAGCCUUGCUUCUGCUCGGUUUACUUCCAGGUUGGCGGGUCAACGUCAGUUUUGAUCGAGGGAGAAAGGUUUGGGGAACGUGGCAGCAUUCGUGCUGUGUUAUAGCCCCUUGUUGUAUAUCUCGACUGGGACUGAGGACCGCAGCGCGCCUUUAUGGCCGGGGUUCGCGCCCUCGGUACGCGCUUAGGAUACUGGCGUAAUGGCUUUAAGCGA